UACGGGAGGCAGCAGUGGGGAAUAUUGCACAAUGGGCGCAAGCCUGAUGCAGCCAUGCCGCGUGUAUGAAAAAGGCCUUCGGGUUGUAAAGUACUUUCAGUCGUGAGGAAGGUGUUAAGGUUAAUAACCUUAGCAAUUGACGUUAGCGACAGAAGAAGCACCGGCUAACUCCGUGCCAGCAGCCGCGGUAAUACGGAGGGUGCGAGCGUUAAUCGGAAUUACUGGGCGUAAAGGGCACGCAGGCGGUUAAUUAAGUUGGAUGUGAAAUCCCCGGGCUUAACCUGGGAAUGGCAUUCAAGACUGGUUAGCUAGAGUCUUGUAGAGGGGGUAGAAUUCCAUGUGUAGCGGUGAAAUGCGUAGAGAUGUGGAGGAAUACCGGUGGCGAAGGCGGCCCCUGGACAAAGACUGACGCUCAUGUGCGAAAAGCGUGGGGAGCAAAACAGGGAUUAGAUACC
rnacentral:rRNA from 1 species